rnacentral:hammerhead_ribozyme from 1 species
AUCCAGCUGAUGAGUCCUAAAUAGGACGAAAUGAGCAUCCUAGAU